GGGGGUAGUGUUACGGUUUAGGGUAUAAGCUGUAGGUUUGUACAUACGACUCUUUCGGGCUACUCAGUAAACACUCUAUUCUAUUUUCGCGUUCGUCGUUUACUGUUAGCCAACGCGUAUACAAAGACAUUUGAUGAACAUUGUGUAUACUUAUAUAUUGUUAUUGUAUGUAAAUAUUGUUAGUAAGGUCUCUGGGAAUAAUAGUAUAGAGUUCGUCUUCAUUGUUUGACCACGGGGGGUCCCCUGACUGAACGACUGUUCCCACCUUCUGUUUACCCUUAUUUCACACGUUCCCGCUUUAUUACCUUGUUAUUUUAUUAGCGUUAAGGCAUGAUAUAUUGUAACCGGGGCCCAUACAUGCUAAGAGUAAGCUUAGAUAAGUCCCGUUUGUCCAUUUCCCGACUCGACAGAAUGUCAACAUUCCGAUCGCCGCCAUUUGCAUCACUAUGUUUAUUGACGUCAGUGACCUAAUGACCUGAGAUCAGCAUCCAAUCAGCAUAACGUAAUUUGCCCACCAUCUCCAUAGGGGCACGAGACGUUGGUGGGACAGAGAUAUAAAAGCAAGUGCACAACAGUCUUCAGAUAGACUGCGGCCCGCUACCAGGGC
rnacentral:lncRNA from 1 species